CUACUGGCCAUCUCCGGGAAGGAGGCACCUCAGAGUUGAAAUGAAAGUGGGAUGAUGCAGACCCUGAAGAGUGGACAUAAUAUACAGGGAUUAGACAAUUAAAACGCACCGUCAUUGCAUGUAUGAACGGAAGAGGGAAUGCAGUGUGUUCUUCAAAAACGACUCAUCCACCUUAUCAUGAUAUGUUGCCCCUUGGUAAUACUGAUUGUGAAGAUCUGCCCACAAGUCCUGCAGCAACACAGUAGUUAGUAUGUUGAGCAUAUUGAUCAGGCAACAUAAGUUUUGUGUGUAUGGGGAGUGUCCACUAAAAUUUGCUAAUAUAAAACUGUAUCUCAUUUUGCCUCAAGUUAUACAACAUUUGUGUAGAAACUGACAAUAUAGGUUAUUGUGUAGACACUGUGGCAUUUCCAUUUAGAUCAGGGUUGUUAUAUGUUAUACUACCAAGCAUUUUUAAAGAACCUAACGUAUCAUGACAAUGACAGGUUUCAUACAUGGUUUUGUGGAAGACUAUUUGAAUAUAUAUUCCCCCAGACAUUGAGUGUAAUGUCAUAGCACAUACAGUAUAUUGCGAAAUAUUCUGUGGUUUUAUUUUUUUCCAACCAUUUUGUCACAUUUCUUAAUACUAAUAAAACAUUUUUAAAAGUCUUCAUACAGUCAGUCAAGACAAGGAAAUUGUUCUUAUACAGAGCUUUUAACAAUACAUAUCGUUUUAAAACAGCUUUACAGAAAAUCAUACUACAAUUACUUAACUAAUACAUACUAAUAACUUAAAAGUCCCCAUUGAACAGUUUCAUUGAAAAUCAUGCCUUAAUGUUUUUGUCUUUUAAAAAACAAAGCCAAAAAGCAACUGUGGGAGGAAACAAAAACUGCAUAUGUUAGGUAAUGGAGAAAAAAAAAAAAAAAUGUGGAAGAAACCAGGCUCAGCUGUGGGAACCAGUUCCCCUAUGGUAUACUGCAUGAAUCUAAUGCCAAUAUCAGUUAGCAGUGUGUAAUACAACUGAGUAAACUGAGUAGAUUUUUGGCAGUGUUUAAAACUAAAGGAUAUUGAUUGAACUGUAAGAUUAAUGAUUAACUGUCUUUUUAAGUCCAUCCCGAAUUGACUGUGGAAGUGCACAUAGAUGCAGAGUCUUUUGCUGUUUGACUGGUAAAGGCUUUUCUUAGCUGUAGUUUAUUUUCUAUGUUUUCCAUUUUAAGAGAAUGAAAUGAUGCAAGCAGUGGUCAAUAAAGUGUUACUUGCUGUUUU